AUGUGAUCGUCUCUCGCAUAUCAAUAAGCGGAGGAAAAGAAACUAACAAGGAUUCCCCUAGUAACGGCGAGUGAAGCGGGAAGAGCUCAAAUUUGAAAUCUUAAAGGGUUUCCCUUUACGAAUCGUAGUUUAAAGAAGUGUUUUCUGUUGAGGUUUUGGUAAAAGUUCUUUGGAAUAGGACAUCAUAGAGGGUGAGAAUCCCGUAUUUGACCUUUACUUUCAACUUUGUGAUACACUUUCAAAGAGUCGGAUUGUUUGGGAAUGCAGUCCAAAAUGGGUGGUAAAUUUCAUCUAAAGCUAAAUAUUGGCGAGAGACCGAUAGCGAACAAGUACCGUGAGGGAAAGAUGAAAAGAACUUUGAAAAGAGAGUUAAACAGUACGUGAAAUUGUCAAAAGGGAAGCGUUUGACACCAGUGUUGUUUUUCUGAAAAUCAAUUAAAGAACUGUUUAUGCUAAGUUGUUUAGACUUUAUCAGCUAUACUGUUUAGUUUUGAGCUUUUCUUUAAUGCACUUUUCAGUUAACAAGUCAACAUCAAUUUCCUUUGCUGUAAAAAAGCUUGAGGAAGGUGGCUUGAGAUUCGUCUUAAGUGUUUAUAGCCUCUUGCCUAUGCAGUCGGAGAGAUUGAGGUCUGCAGCGUAGAUCCUUCGGGGCUAAAUGCAUUUGUGCUAAGUUAUAGCGUUUUAUAGACAACUUGUUGACUAUGAUUUGUCUUGUAGCUUACUCGCUUAUGUUAUUUUACCUACGCUUAGGAUGUUGACACACGCGCGUGCUCG
rnacentral:rRNA from 1 species